UGGGAAGGAUCAGGAUAACGCCCCAUUGAUGGUGGAGCCCAUUAUGUCAAUGUUAUCAUAAAUUUGAUUCUGAUAUACCAGAAAAGAAACCCUUUAAAGGAAGGAAUAUCAGGCCUUCUCCAAGAGAUAACCUAAAGUUUGUUGUGAUUAAGUGUACCCAAGCUCGAGGGUUAUAUCCAUGACCUACCCACGAAAGCAUACAUGGGGGAUUUGCGACGCCUCAUUUUAGAGCUGAGAAACCCAUCAGAAUUUUCUGUAAAGAAUUUGAAAGUGAAGAUCAGUUAUCCAAGGUUUUUAAUUCCAGGAAAUUAGAAAGACAUGGACAUGGAAUUUCCUACCUGUCUAGAAAACCAGCCAAGUCAUGAUCAAAAUAAUGUGCACACUAAUGUUAUG